rnacentral:rRNA from 1 species
AUUGAACGCUGGCGGCAGGCUUAACACAUGCAAGUCGAGCGGGGUGAGGUGCUUCGGUACUGAUCCUAGCGGCGGACGGGUGAGUAAUGCUUAGGAAUCUGCCAUUUAGUGGGGGACAACAUUCCGAAAGGAAUGCUAAUACCGCAUACGUCCUACGGGAGAAAGCAGGGGAUCUUCGGACCUUGCGCUAAAUGAUGAGCCCAAGUCGGAUUAGCUAGUUGGUGGGGUAAAGGCCUACCAAGGCGACGAUCUGUAGCGGGUCUGAGAGGAUGAUCCGCCACACUGGGACUGAGACACGGCCCAGACUCCUACGGGAGGCAGCAGUGGGGAAUAUUGGACAAUGGGCGGAAGCCUGAUCCAGCCAUGCCGCGUGUGUGAAGAAGGCCUUUUGGUUGUAAAGCACUUUAAGCGAGGAGGAGGCUACCUGGAUUAAUACUCUGGGAUAGUGGACGUUACUCGCAGAAUAAGCACCGGCUAACUCUGUGCCAGCCGCCGCGGUAA